rnacentral:lncRNA from 12 species
CCAACCCCAGACCAGGGGCCGCAGCCCCGGCGCCCGUCCUCCAGGGCCUGCAGGGCCUGGCGUGCAGCGAGCCCCAUCACCUCUAGUACGGAAACCCGAGUGUCUGCCGGCGCCCUGUCUCCACGCUGGGAACCCCUUGCCCCCAAGCCUCACCCGUCUCUUGAGUGCAAGGUGUUGCCUUCGCCUUUCUGGGAUUUUAAAGAUUUUUUUUAAAUUUUUUACUUAUUCAUGAUAGAGAGAGAGAGAGAGAGAGAGGCAAAGACACAGGCAGAGGGAGAAGUAGGCUCCAUGCAGGGAGCCCGACGUGGGACUCGAUCCCGGGACCCUAGGAUCAUAGCCUGAGCCAAAGGCUCAACCACUGAGCCACCCAGGUGUCCCUCCAAAUUCCAUUCUUGCAUUUAUAUAUUUGGCAGUAAAGAAUUUAGACACUUUUAUACUUUCUUAUCAGAAAAUCCAUUAAAUAUGAACAAAUUUUGCCAAAAUUCUAACAUAAUUCAUUGUUUCUCUUCAGACUCUUUAUUUGCAGGAUUUUAAAACCAAGGAAAAUGAAGCUCACUUUCUUCAAAUCCACUUUUUUUCUUUUCUUUUUUAGGAUUUUAUUUAUUCAUGAGAGACACAAAGAGAGAGAGGCGGAAACACAGGCAGAGGGACAAGCAGGCUCCAUGCAGGGAGCCCGACGUGGGACUCCAUCCCAGGACCCCAGGGUCAGGACCUGAGCCAAAGGCAGGCGCCAAACUGCUGAGCCACCCGGGUGUCCCCAAAUCUUCUAUUUUCCUUCAGAUGAUAUUUCAGGUGCUUGGUGCGAGAGGUAAAGAGAAAAUGAGAAAAGUCUCGCCGGAGACACACAGUGCAGAGCUCUCACAGCUUGCUUUCCACAACCCCAGCCCAGGUGAAGUGGGCACUGAAGCCACCCCUCACCUGACGCAGCCCUCAGCUGAUGCACCUGAUGCAGCCCUCACCUGAUGCAGCCCUCACCUGAUGCAGCCCUCACCUGGUGCACCUGAUGCAGCCCUCACCUGGUGCACUUGAUGCAGCCCUCACCUGAUGCAGCCUUCACCUGAUGCAGCCUUCACCUGAUGUACCUGAUGCAUCCCUCACCUGAUGCAGCCCUCAUCUGAUGCAGCCCUCAGAGACUCCCUCUUCUUUUUAAGGGACCCAAAGCAUCCUUUUGAGGCAGGUGGGCACACAGACGGAACACAGGAGAGUAAGCCAGACUUUGUCACCUCCCGGCCAGUGCAAGUGGAUUGCUCCGGCCCCAGGGGACAGGGGUCUCUUAACGGCCAACCGGGAAGCCGGCUCCUGGGCUCUGCUGCGGCCAGUGGGGAAGAAAGAGCCGGAUCCUGGCCAAACCGGCGCCGAACCAAAGCUGACCAAGAGCCAGAAACAAAAACAGGAACGCGGGGUGGGGAUGAAGAGAGAAGCAGUGGGUGAGUGAAGGGAACGACUGGUGGCAUUUGGGACGUCCCCUGGGAUGGGGCAUCAGUCCCACGACCUUGAGGCCCCGUGGGAGGGGUCCUGUGGCUCUGCCGGGCGUCCACCGCAUCGUGAUGGGGCUGCCAGACUUGGACGGUCCAACUAAUUUGUAGGAGAAAACACGUAACUUCCGUGCCAGUGUAGACUGAAGCCCGUCACAGAUGCGCUGGGCUCACUAGUUAGGGAAGCAGGAGGAGGGUAAGGCUGAAGCCCAAGUCGCUGUUCUGGAAUGUGUUUCUGGGCUUCGCCGCACCCCUUGGUUCACUCGAGGAGAGCCCUGCUGCCCACCUGCCUCUGGAGCAGAGCCCGUGCACCCCUGCGGUCGAGACGGCCUCCCCGCGCCCACCGAGGCCGUGACGACGGUGACAAAUCACAGGGUGUGCACGUAUGACAACAGCCUGCGGAAAGCAGCUGGCUGCUGCCUGGUCUCGGAGCCUGCAGGCCUCUGGGGGGUGCCUCCAGGCAUCACACUCCCCGGGACACUGAGGCCACCGCUCCAGACUCGUGCGCCAGCUCCACGGGGGCUUCCGUCUCCCGGAGGACUAUGCCUGCCUUUUAUUCAAAGUUUGUUGUAUUGAAUCAAUGGAAAAAAAAAUUUGUACAGCAAAAUGUUACUAAAACUUUCACUCCCAUCAAACGUUACGGUGGCCUACACCGACGUGCUCUGUGGCACGGUCAUUUCCACCAAUUACCAGUUUCUUUCAACAUAGUUUAUUCCAGAAUAAAUAAUAUCACAAUAUGCUCCUAGGCUGUGGU